rnacentral:lncRNA from 1 species
CUUGAUAUUCUUUUCAUUUUCCUUUUUCUGCUAAAUUUCUUCAGAAAAUUGAUCAGAUCAACCACCUGUUUCCAUAUCUCAAUCAUAGGAACUUUAAUCUCCAAUUUCUUGAAGAUCUCCAUAAAGCACUUAAUUUUCUUUUCCUUCCUAUAAUACUUCUUUUGAUGAGGAAGGGGUUUUUCAUAUGAUUUUUUCUUCUUUCCUCUCUUCCUCUUUUUCUCACUCCUCUUUUCUCUAAAUUUUCUCUUUUUCUUUUCUUUUACUUUCUUCUUUCUUUUCACAAUUUUUAUCUUUUCUUCUUCUCUCUCAACCACUUCUUUUUCUAUCCCUUCUAUCUUUUCCUCCUCUCUCUCUCUAUCUCUCUAUCUUUUCCUCAUCUCUUUCUAUUUUUUCCUCAUCAACAACAUUAUCACUUUCAGAGCUAAUGGCUUGACAUUCCACCCUAGGGUUAACCUCAGUAUUGACCCUAGAAUCCAAUUUCUCAUUAAAUUGAUGAAUCUGCAUCUCCAUCCUUUUAUUUCUUGCUUCAUUACAUUCCUCAUUGGAAGAUAGCAUUUGCAAAAUUCGUUCGAAUAUCUCGUCCAAUCUGUUGAUUUUCUCAUUCAAAAUAGAU